rnacentral:rRNA from 1 species
UACGAGGGGGCGAGCGUUGUUCGGAAUUAUUGGGUACGUAAGGGUGCGUAGGCGGUUCCGCAAGUCCAUGUGUCCGAAAUCGUUCGGGACUCAACUCGAAGUCUGCACGGGAAACUGCGGGGCUUGAGUGUGGGAGAGGUGAGUGGAAUUCCCGGUGAUAGCGGUGAAAUGCGUAGAUAUCGGGAGGAACACCUGUGGCGAA